CCAGGCACUAGAGGGUGACUGUCCUGCAUCCUUGAAAGCCCAGCUGCGAAGCAGUUUGAAAUGAGAUGAAGACCAGUAAGAUGUCUGAGGAAUGCAACGGACUGGUUGGCAUUCACAAUUUAAAGGCAGGAACCUCAGUGGUGGGGUCUCUGCAGCCCUCCUGAAAGGAACCACUGAGGCUCUUUAAGGCCCCCUUCUGCAGUCCUGGCUGAAAAUACAUGUUAAACAGAGCAAAAAUCGUUCCACGGCAAUGACUCAAAAGUCUGUGGUCUGUUUUGAGACAAACCUUUCAUCUCGUUUUCGUCUCACCUCACAGGCUUAGGUCCAAGACAGCGGUUGGCAUUGCUUGUCCAGAGUUGACUAAAGUUUGUACCUUUUAAAAACAGCCAGGGGCCUAUUAACGGCACACUGGGUACCUAAGGCUGCUGGACACAACAGGCUGCUGGGUCCCCAAAUGGUAAGCAAAAGUCCACAGCCCCCACAGCCACUCUCCUUCCUUGGCCACCACUGAGACCUUCCACUUCCUGUAUGUGGCUAGCUGCAAGGACACGUCUCCUUUUCAAUUUUCAGUCAAACCCCCUUGUGGUGAAGCUUAAAGAGACCCAUAAGCCAAAGGCCCUUUUCCUCUAAAUUCAGAAAUGAAUGAGAAAUUGACCAACAUGAGAAGGGGUGAAAAAUGAAAUUACUGUGUUAGCACUGGGUGGAACAGAGCGUGAACCGGCUUCUGGGACUAGGUGCGUUUCUCUCCCUUCUCACCCAGGUCGAGGCAGGAAUCGGCACCUUUGAAGAAGGGAGCCCCUGUGCCUUCUGGGCUUAAAGAGAGCAGAUGCCUCUCAGCCGGGAUCCUCUCCAGCGGGAAAGAGAGAGGUGGAUUUGAGCGCAGGGCCUCCAUGAGAAGACGGGUUGAUCACAGAUGUGAACUGUCAGGUAACCAGGGCUGCAGUGACAUCCACGGAUUUCACUGGAAGUAGAAGAGGAGGUGGAAACAGUUAUCUGCAAGACAGGAGAUGAAAAGAGUUAUUAUG